GUGGAAGUCUGUGGUUUGCGACCAGGGAAUCACGGAUUUCAGUGAAAGGGUCUGAGACCACAGCCAUAAGCUGUGAAAGCCAAGAGGACAGCUAAGGACUAAGGAAUUGACACUAAGCCCGAAUCUGGCAGAAGAGUCAAGCCCCAAAUCGUGACAUGCACACAGAAAAAAUAUGUGGGCCACUGGCUUAGGAAGACUGCGUUUUCAGGGGAAAUGACCCAUGGGUGAGCGCUGUGGCACAGACUUAAAAGACUAUGACACUUUCUUUUGGCCUCCAUCAUUUCUGAUAAGAAAUUCACUGUCUUUCAAAUUAUUUGCUCUCACAGUCUCCAGCCGCCAUGAGAAGACAUGCCUUGCUUCCCCUUCACCUUCUGCCAUGAUUGUAAGUUUUCUGAAACGCUCAAACCAUGCUUCCUUUUAAGCCUGCAGAACUACUGCUUUGCUUCAGGGAAAAUUUGUUUGGAAAGUUGCAUGUGGUACAUGUGUUUGGAAUCAUUAAUUUGUGGCUCAAGAUACAUUCUGCAUACUUCUCCACCUUGCCUUCUGACUAAGAAGCUGAGCUGUAUGAACUAUAUCAACAAGGUUCCCAUGGCCUUUGUCUUCUGUCUAGGUUAAAAUAAUGUUGAUCCCCAUCAGAAACUGAAAGUAGAGAUACCAGAUUGUGGUCAGAGCGCUGAUUACCUCUACUCUCUCCCAAUGUGUUUGUCGUGGGUUGGCUGUUAUCUUCCAUUCAAUAUGGAUGACCCUAUGUAAUCUUCUUUUUCUCUAGUUCUAAAAACAACCCCUCUCCUUUCCUUUGGUCUCCAUUAGUUGCAUGUUGAAUUACCUCAACACUUACUAAUGUAAAAUAACCAUUUACUAGGUUCACAGAUCCUGUGAGCCAUUGAUCCAGACAUGGCAGAGUAGGUUUAGGUUGUCUCUGGUUCAUGAUGUCUAAGGCCUCUGAUGAAAUAUUUUAAAACUCAGGAAUAGUAGAUCACCAGGGUCUGGAAUUAUCUGAAAGCUUUUUUACUCUGAUGUUUGAUGCUGGCUCCCAGCUGGAACUUUAACUUUACACAAGAACACCUUCAUUAAGCCCUCCAAAUAGCCUGAGCUUUCUCACACCAUGGUUCUUGGAUUCAAAUGUGAGUGCCCUGACUGAAAGACAGAGAGAGAGAGACAGAUAGACAGACAGACACACACAGAGAGCGACAGAGAAAAAUAGAGAUAGAGAUUAGACAGAAGCCCCAGUGCCUUUUAUAAUCUAGCCUCAGAAAUCCUGAAGCAUCACCUACUCCAUUUUAUUUUUUGAAGCCAAGUCCUGGCCAGUUUUAAGAGAGAAAAUGGAUUCUUUUAACUGGGGAGUGAAGAGAUAUUAGAAGUGUGUAUUAGCCUCUUCUCACAGUGUUACAAAGAACUACCUGAGACUGGGUAAUUUAUGAAGAAAUGAGGUUUAAUUGACUCACAGUUCCAGUUCUGCAGGCUGUAGAGGAAGCAUGGCUGAGAGGCCUCAGAAGACUUGCAAUCAUGGCAGAAGGUGGAAAAGGAAGCAAGCACAUCUUCGUAUGGUAGCAGGAGAGACAGAGUGAAGGAGGAGGUGUUAUAUACUUUCUUCUUAACAAGCAGAUCUUAUGAGAAUUCCAUCACAAGACAGCACUAGGAGGAUGGUGUUAAACCAAUGGAAAUCGCCCCCAUGAUCCAACACCCCCAACCAGGCCCCUCCUCCAACACAUGGGGAUUGUAAUUCGAGGUGCGAUUUGGGUGGGAACACAGAGCCAAACCAUAUGAAAGUAUUUCAGGACCCCCAGAUAUUGCUAUGGAUUUUUUGGGAAAAAUCCUUUUCACCACAGGCUUAAGAGUAGUGAGUGUUUGCCUGCUACUAGUCCGAGGUUUCUAUAGUACCCUUUGUGAUUUAUUUUUGUAAUACUCUUUGAAUUAUGCUGAUUCAGAGUGUAUUUUGUCUCGCAUUGGAACCCUGUAUAAUAAAGUACACUACUCAAAUGCUAUUUGAAAGAAAAAAAGAACUAUUUUCAGCAUAUUGAAAUAAUCAUAUUCAUAAUGUACAUGUAAUCAUCUUUGUUAUUAAUUUGAGUUGAUUUUUGUUACUCGGAAAUUAUAUAGAAAGCAAAUACAAUCCAAAUAACACAUAUUUGCCAUUUAAUCCAUGAAAUUCCUAAGGAAAACUUUGAGGAGACCUGCUGCAACCAGUGUUUUUCAAUAUUGUUUUGAAACUUCUGGCUUUUGCAAUAGAAAAAGAAAAAACAUUAGAAGUAAAACUAUUACAAAAUACUAGAAAAAGUUAUGUGCAUUUUUAGAUGAUAUAUUCAAACAUAUCUAAAGCAUAAUAAAAAAUCUAAAAUCUCUGCAAAAAUUAAAUAUAGAAUAUAGUAAGAUCCAGCAAUCCCACUACUGGGUGUAUAUCUAAAGGACAUGAUUAAUAUGUAGAUGAAAUAUUAGCACUCCUAUGUUUAUUGCAGCAUUACUCACAAUAGCCAAGAUAUGGUAUCACACUAAGUGUCCAUCAAUGAAUGAUUAGAUUGAUAAAAUGAAAAUAAAAAAUUAACAUAUACGCAAUGGAAUGUCAUUCUGCCUUUAAAAAGAGGGAAAAUUUGUCAUGUGCAACGACAUAAAUGAACCUGGAGGACAUUAUGUUAAGUGAAAUAAGCCAAGCACAGAAAGCCAAAGACCCUGUGAUCUCACUUAUAUAUGUGCAACUUAAAAAAGUGAAACUCAUAGAAACAGUAAAUUGGUGGUUAGCAGGGGCUGGGGUCAGGUUGAUGAGGGAAGGUAAUAUGGGAAAUGUUGGUCAAAGGGCAUACAAUUUCAGUUAGACAGAAGAAAUAAGUUCAAGAGAUCUCUUGUACAUGACGGUGACUAAAGUUAAGUGUUCACCACAAAAAACAUGGUUAAGUAUGUGAGGUAAUGCAUAUAUUAAAUAGUUUGAUUCAGCCAUUCACAAUGUGUAUAUGUAUUUCAAAACAUCCUGUUAUGAAUCAAUAUUUAUAAUUUGUAUUUGUCAGUUAAUACAACUUUAACAAAUAAAAAUUAAAGAAAAUACUGUUGUAAGGUGUCUAUUUUUACAACAACCAUUUGUAAUUACAUUUUAGUAAUUACUAAGUACCACUUUUGUGGUAGUUUGAUAGCAGCAUUUAUCAGGAUCAAUGGUUUUCUCAUUUGUACAUCAUUUACAAUUUGCCUUUGUAGGUUCUCCCAACAAGAGGACCUGCAAUAGUCUGCACUAUUUUCUCACUUCUUAAAUCUGUUCUGGCUGUGUGACUUACUUUCACCAAAUGAGCACGG
rnacentral:lncRNA from 1 species